CGUAACCAAAGAUGAUUAGUGGGUUUAGCGUAGGAGCACUUACUACUCGAACGUCUCCACCACCUGGAGCCCAUGUAUCAUAAAGACCACCAACGAAACAAGCCUUUGCUACAAGAAGGAAACAACCGAUUCCUAAAAGGAUUAAGUGAAUACCUAGAAUUGUAGUCAUUUUGUUCUUGUCACGCCA
rnacentral:antisense_RNA from 1 species